rnacentral:rRNA from 1 species
AUUGAACGCUGGCGGCAGGCCUAACACAUGCAAGUCGAGCGAGCGGCGGACGGGUGAGUAAUGUAUGGGGACUGCCUGAUGGAGGGGGAUAACUACUGGAAACGGUAGCUAAUACCGCAUACUAUCGGAUAACCCAUAUGGGAUUAGCUAGUAGGUGGGGUAAAGGCUCACCUAGGCGACGAUCCCUAGCUGGUCUGAGAGGAUGAUCAGCCACACUGGGACUGAGACACGGACCAGACGCCUACGGAGGCAGCAGUGGGGAAUAUUGAACAAUGGGCGCAAGCCUGAUGCAGCCAUGCCGAGUGUAUGAAGAAGGCCUUAGGGUUGUAAAGUACUUUCAGUGGGGAGGCGUUACCCGCAGAAGAAGCACCGGCUAACUCCGUGCCAGCAGCCGCGGUAAUAC